AUACAUGCAGUCGUGGGGCAGCGCAGGUAGCAAUACUGGGCGGCGACCGGCAAACGGGUGCGGAACACGUACACAACCUUCCGAGAAGUGGGGAAUAGCCCAGAGAAAUUUGGAUUAAUACCCCGUAACAUAACGAUGUGGCAUCACAUUGUUAUUAUAGCUUCGGCGCUUCUUGAUGGGUGUGCGGCUGAUUAGAUAGUUGGCGGGGUAACGGCCCACCAAGUCUACGAUCAGUAGCUGAUGUGAGAGCAUGAUCAGCCACACGGGCACUGAGACACGGGCCCGACUCCUACGGGAGGCAGCAGUAAGGAAUAUUGGUCAAUGGACGCAAGUCUGAACCAGCCAUGCCGCGUGAAGGAUUAAGGUCCUCUGGAUUGUAAACUUCUUUUAUCUGGGACGAAAAAAGGCGAUUCUUCGUCACUUGACGGUACCAGAUGAAUAAGCACCGGCUAACUCCGUGCCAGCAGCCGCGGUAAUACGGAGGGUGCAAGCGUUAUCCGGAUUCACUGGGUUUAAAGGGUGCGUAGGCGGGCAGGUAAGUCAGUGGUGAAAUCCUAGAGCUUAACUCUAGAACUGCCAUUGAUACUAUCUGUCUUGAAUAUUGUGGAGGUAAGCGGAAUAUGUCAUGUAGCGGUGAAAUGCUUAGAUAUGACAUAGAACACCUAUUGCGAAGGCAGCUUACUACGCAUAUAUUGACGCUGAGGCACGAAAGCGUGGGGAUCAAACAGGAUUAGAUACCCUGGUAGUCCACGCCCUAAACGAUGAUUACUCGACAUUUGUGAUACACUAUAAGUGUCUGAGCGAAAGCAUUAAGUAAUCCACCUGGGAAGUACGACCGCAAGGUUGAAACU
rnacentral:rRNA from 1 species